rnacentral:rRNA from 1 species
GGUUAAGUUAGAAAGGGCGCACGGUGAAUGCCUUGGCACUAGGAGCCGAUGAAGGACGGGACUAACACCGAUAUGCUUCGGGGAGCUGUAAGUGAGCUUUGAUCCGGAGAUUUCCGAAUGGGGAAACCCACUGUUCGUAAUGGAACAGUAUCUUUAUCUGAAUACAUAGGAUAUUGAAGGCAGACCCGGGGAACUGAAACAUCUAAGUACCCGGAGGAAGAGAAAGCAAAUGCGAUUUCCUGAGUAGCGGCGAGCGAAACGGAAUUAGCCCAAACCAAGAGGCUUGCCUCUUGGGGUUGUAGGACACUCUAUACGGAGUUACAAAGGAACGAAGUAAAUGAAGCGACCUGGAAAGGUCCGUCGAAGAAGGUAACAACCCUGUAGUUGAAACUUCGUUCCCUCUUGAGUGGAUCCUGAGUACGGCGGAACACGUGAAAUUCCGUCGGAAGCUGGGAGGACCAUCUCCCAAGGCUAAAUACUACCUAGUGACCGAUAGUGAACCAGUACCGUGAGGGAAAGGUGAAAAGCACCCCGGAAGGGGAGUGAAAGAGAUCCUGAAACCGUGUGCCUACAAGUAGUCAGAGCCCGUUAACGGGUGAUGGCGUGCCUUUUGUAGAAUGAACCGGCGAGUUACGAUCCCAUGCAAGGUUAAGCUGAUAAGGCGGAGCCGUAGCGAAAGCGAGUCUGAAUAGGGCGUUUAGUAUGUGGUUGUAGACCCGAAACCAGGUGAUCUACCCAUGUCCAGGGUGAAGUUCAGGUAACACUGAAUGGAGGCCCGAACCCACGCACGUUGAAAAGUGCGGGGAUGAGGUGUGGGUAGCGGAGAAAUUCCAAUCGAACCUGGAGAUAGCUGGUUCUCUCCGAAAUAGCUUUAGGGCUAGCCUCAUGUUGUGAGAGUCUUGGAGGUAGAGCACUGAUUGGACUAGGGGCCCCCAACGGGUUACCGAAUUCAGUCAAACUCCGAAUGCCAAAGACUUAUCCAUGGGAGUCAGACUGCGAGUGAUAAGAUCCGUAGUCAAAAGGGAAACAGCCCAGACCACCAGCUAAGGUCCCCAAGUAUACGUUAAGUGGAAAAGGAUGUGGAGUUGCUUAGACAACCAGGAUGUUGGCUUAGAAGCAGCCACCAUUUAAAGAGUGCGUAAUAGCUCACUGGUCGAGUGACUCUGCGCCGAAAAUGUACCGGGGCUAAACGUAUCACCGAAGCUGUGGAUUGACAUCUUUGAUGUCAGUGGUAGGAGAGCGUUCUAAGUGCUGUGAAGUCAGACCGUAAGGACUGGUGGAGCGCUUAGAAGUGAGAAUGCCGGUAUGAGUAGCGAAAGACAAGUGAGAAUCUUGUCCACCGAAUGCCUAAGGUUUCCUGAGGAAGGCUCGUCCGCUCAGGGUUAGUCGGGACCUAAGCCGAGGCUGAAAAGCGUAGGCGAUGGCCAACAGGUUGAUAUUCCUGUACCACCUCCCCGCCGUUUGAGUAAUGGGGGGACGCAGUAGGAUAGGGUAAGCGCGCUGCUGGAUAUGCGCGUUCAAGCAGUUAGGCUGAUGAGUAGGCAAAUCCGCUCAUCAUAAAGGCUGAGCUGUGAUGACGAGGGAAUUAUAGUACCGAAGUUCCUGAUUCCACACUGCCAAGAAAAGCCUCUAGCGAGGCGGGAGGUGCCCGUACCGCAAACCGACACAGGUAGGCGAGGAGAGAAUCCUAAGGUGAUCGAGAGAACUCUCGUUAAGGAACUCGGCAAAAUGACCCCGUAACUUCGGGAGAAGGGGUGCUCUGGUAGGGUGUAUAGCCCGAGAGAGCCGCAGUGAAUAGGCCCAGGCGACUGUUUAGCAAAAACACAGGUCUCUGCGAAGCCGCAAGGCGAAGUAUAGGGGCUGACGCCUGCCCGGUGCUGGAAGGUUAAGAGGAGGGGUUAUCCUUUGGGAGAAGCUCUGAAUCGAAGCCCCAGUAAACGGCGGCCGUAACUAUAACGGUCCUAAGGUAGCGAAAUUCCUUGUCGGGUAAGUUCCGACCCGCACGAAAGGCGUAACGAUCUGGGCACUGUCUCAACGAGAGACUCGGUGAAAUUAUAGUACCUGUGAAGAUGCAGGUUACCCGCGACAGGACGGAAAGACCCCGUGGAGCUUUACUGUAGCCUGAUAUUGAAUUUUGGUACAGCUUGUACAGGAUAGGUAGGAGCCUGAGAAGCCGGAGCGCUAGCUUCGGUGGAGGCGUCGGUGGGAUACUACCCUGGCUGUAUUGAAAUUCUAACCCGCGGCCCUGAUCGGGCCGGGAGACAGUGUCAGGUGGGCAGUUUGACUGGGGCGGUCGCCUCCUAAAAUGUAACGGAGGCGCCCAAAGGUUCCCUCAGAAUGGUUGGAAAUCAUUCGUAGAGUGUAAAGGCACAAGGGAGCUUGACUGCGAGACCUACAAGUCGAGCAGGGACGAAAGUCGGGCUUAGUGAUCCGGUGGUUCCGCAUGGAAGGGCCAUCGCUCAACGGAUAAAAGCUACCCCGGGGAUAACAGGCUUAUCUCCCCCAAGAGUCCACAUCGACGGGGAGGUUUGGCACCUCGAUGUCGGCUCAUCGCAUCCUGGGGCUGUAGUCGGUCCCAAGGGUUGGGCUGUUCGCCCAUUAAAGCGGUACGCGAGCUGGGUUCAGAACGUCGUGAGACAGUUCGGUCCCUAUCCGUCGUGGGCGUAGGAAAUUUGAGAGGAGCUGUCCUUAGUACGAGAGGACCGGGAUGGACACACCGCUGGUGUACCAGUUGUCUUGCCAAAGGCAUCGCUGGGUAGCUAUGUGUGGACGGGAUAAGUGCUGAAAGCAUCUAAGCAUGAAGCCCCCCUCAAGAUGAGAUUUCCCAUAGCGCAAGCUAGUAAGAUCCCUGAAAGAUGAUCAGGUUGAUAGGUCAGAGGUGGAAGCGUGGCGACAUGUGUAGCUGACUGAUACUAAUCGAUCGAGGACUUAACCAG